rnacentral:rRNA from 1 species
GACGAACGCUGGCGGCGUGCCUAAUACAUGCAAGUAGAACGCACAGUUUAUACCGUAGCUUGCUACACCAUAAACUGUGAGUUGCGAACGGGUGAGUAACGCGUAGGUAACCUGCCUGGUAGCGGUGGAUAACUAUUGGAAACGAUAGCUAAUACCUCAUAAUAUUGAUUAUUGCAUGAUAAUUGAUUGAAAGAUGCUAUUGCAUCACUACCAGAUGGCCCUGCGUUGUAUUGGCUAGUAGGUGAGGUAACGGCUCACCUAGGCGACGAUACAUAGCCGAACUGGGAGGGUGAUCGGCCAACCUGGGACUGAGACACGGCCCAGACUCCUAAGGGAGGCAGCAGUAGGGAAUCUUCGGCAAUGGACGAAAGUCUGACCGAGCAAAGCCGCGUGAGUGAAGAAGGUUUUCGGAUCGUAAAGCUCUGUUGUAAGAGAAGAACGGGUGUGAGAGUGGAAAGUUCACACUGUGACGGUAUCUUACCAGAAAGGGACGGCUAACUACGUG